rnacentral:rRNA from 1 species
GAUGAACGCUGGCGGCGUGCCUAAUACAUGCAAGUAGAACGCUGAAGGAGGAGCUUGCCCUUCUGGAUGAGUUGCGAACGGGUGAGUAACGCGUAGGUAACCUGCCUGGUAGCGGGGGAUAACUAUUGGAAACGAUAGCUAAUACCGCAUGACAACAGUUAUUGCAUGAUAACUGUUUAAAAGGGGCAACUGCUCCACUACCAGAUGGACCUGCGUUGUAUUAGCUAGUUGGUGAGGUAACGGCUCACCAAGGCGACGAUACAUAGCCGACCUGAGAGGGUGAUCGGCCACACUGGGACUGAGACACGGCCCAGACUCCUACGGGAGGCAGCAGUAGGGAAUCUUCGGCAAUGGACGGAAGUCUGACCGAGCAACGCCGCGUGAGUGAAGAAGGUUUUCGGAUCGUAAAGCUCUGUUGUAAGAGAAGAACGAGUGUGAGAGUGGAAAGUUCACACUGUGACGGUAUCUUACCAGAAAGGGACGGCUAACUACGUG